rnacentral:tRNA from 1 species
CAGUAUUUAGUUUAAUGGUAAAAUAUAAUAUUUGGGUUAUUAAGAUUGGUUACUGAU